rnacentral:tRNA from 1 species
GGGCCGGUAGCUCAGCCUGGUUAGAGCGUUCGGCUGAUAACCGAAAGGUCGAGAGUUCAAAUCUCUCCCGGCCCACCA